rnacentral:rRNA from 1 species
GACGAACGCUGGCGGCGUGCUUAACACAUGCAAGUCGAACGGAAAGGCCCUGCUUUUGUGGUGUGCUCGAGUGGCGAACGGGUGAGUAACACGUGAGUAACCUGCCCUUGACUUUGGGAUAACUUCAGGAAACUGGGGCUAAUACCGGAUAGGAGCUCCUGCUGCAUGGUGGGGGUUGGAAAGUUUCGGCGGUUGGGGAUGGACUCGCGGCUUAUCAGCUUGUUGGUGGGGUAGUGGCUUACCAAGGCUUUGACGGGUAGCCGGCCUGGGAGGGUGACCGGCCACAUUGGGACUGAGAUACGGCCCAGCCUCCUCCGGGAGGCAGCAGUGGGGAAUAUUGCACAAUGGGCGGAAGCCUGAUGCAGCAACGCCGCGUGCGGGAUGACGGCCUUCGGGUUGUAACCCGCUUUCGCCUGUGACGAAGCGUGAGUGACGGUAAUGGGUAAAGAAGCACCGGCUAACUACGUG